rnacentral:tRNA from 1 species
GGUCGUCCGGCGCGAGGUGGCGUGCCACGUUUGCGACGCGUUGACGGACCAUCGGGUCGGGGUCGUUUGCUAGUUCGGUGGCCAGCGAAGCCCA